AUGUAAUGGGCCGGUCUCGGUUUUUUUUUAAAAAUUUACAGUUGGUCUCGAAACCGGACCGGCCCGUUAAACCAGGAUCGGAUCCGGAACGGCCCACAAACCGAUUAAAAAUCACAGGCUGGUUUCGGGUUUACCCGGCCCAGCCCCGUUAACUGGACUAAUUGAGGUUUAGUUGAAUCAAACACAGGUAAAUGCAUUUUCUUGACAAAAGAUCUUUCAUCUUGCCUUACCAAGUAUGAUAAUUACUGCCAUUCAAACACACCAUCUAGCUCAUAUUUGUCUCCAUUGUUCAAAUCAACAAUCAACGACAACUAGGCUCUGAUACCACUUGUAAGGACCGAACUAAUCAAGUGUCAUGCGGAAGCUAGCAAAGAAAACCUCGAAAGACAUCAAUAAAAAGAUAUACGAGAAAUACACCAAAAGAGACACAAAAAUUUAACAUGGUUCGAUCAAUCGACCAAAUCCACAAAAGGAGAUGAGCAAUCCACUAUAUAAAAGAGAGUACAAACUGUCAAGAGAAACAACCUCACACAAUUCACUCAGAAUUAAAAAAAACUAUAUAAAACAGAGUACAACCUGUCAAAAAAGACAACCUCACACAAUUCACUCAGAAUAAAAAAAGGUUCACGUAAGUGAUACCGCAACACUUGUAUCUCACAAAAUCUCCCCCAAACGAAACUCUCAAAAUCCUAGGACUACAUUGUGAAUGCUACCAAACUAGAAGAAAGGAUCCUCUAUUUAUAGAGUCUAUAACCUUUUCCUACAAGAAUAAGAAUUAAUCAAAUAUUAAGAAUAUGUUUUCCUUUUCCUAAAAGAAAACCCAAUUAUGGUAAGAAAAUCAGGACAAACACCAACAAUUCUCCCCCUUGGCCUAAAUUUCUGAUAAAAUAAAUUUACUCUACCUUCUACACGUAAUCUUAAACAAGUUCAAUCUUCAUCUCCAAAAUCUCUUCCAUUAAAUCAUUGUCUCUACAGAUUAACACUUUAAUAAAAUUUCUCAAACCAAAAUCUUCAUUAUUGUCAAAUAGGUUGCGACCAAAAUUGAAUUAGCCAAGAUGAACACCCGAUUUUAACCUGGCUCUGAUACCACUUGUUAGGACCAAAAUAAUCAGGUGUCAUGCGAAAUCUAGCAAAGCAAACCUCAAAAGACGCUAAUAAAAAGAUAUACGAGAAAUACACCAAAAGAAACACAAGAAUUUAAUGUGGUUCGGUCAAUCAACCUACAUCCAUAAAAGGAGAUGAACAAUCCACUAUAUAAAAGAGAGUACAAACUGUCUAGAGAGAACCUCACACAAUUCACUCAGAAUAAAAAGAGGUUCACACAAGUGAUACCGCAACGCUUGUAUCUCACAAAGUCCCCCAAACGAAACUCUCAAAACCGUAGGACUACAUUGUGAAUGCUACCAAACUAGAAGAAAGGAGCCUCUAUUUAUCGAGUCUAUAACCUUUUCCUACAAGAAUAAGGAUUAGCCAAAAAUGGAGAAUAUGUUUUCCUUUUCCUAAAAGGAAUCCCAAUUAUGGUACUUAAAGGAAAACCAAAUUAUGGUAAGAAAAUCAGGACAAACACCAACAAUUCUCCCCCUUGGCCUGAAUUUUUGAUAAAAUAAAUUUGCUCCACCUUCUUCACGUAGUCUUCAACAAGUUCAAUCUUCAUCUCCAAAUCAAUUAAAUCAUUGUCUCUACAUAGAGUAACACUUUGAUAAAAUUUCUCAAACCAAAAUCUUCAUUAUUGUCAAAUAAGUUGUGACCAGAACUGAAUCCGCCAAAAUGAACACCCGAUUUUAACCUGGCUUUGAUACCACUUAUUAGGACCGAAAUAACCAGGUUUCAUGCGGAAGCUAGUAAAGCAAACCUCUAAAGACGCCAAUAAAAAGACAUACGAGAAAUACACCAAAAGAGACACAAGAAUUUAAUGUGGUUCGGUCAAUCGACCUACAUCCAUAAAAGGAGAUAAGCAAUCCACUUAUAAAAGAGAGUACAAACUGUCUAGAGAGAACCUUACAAAAUUCACUCAGAAUAAAAAGAGGUUCACACAAGUGAUACUGCAAUACUUGUAUCUCACAAAGUCUCUCUCCAAAUGAAACUCUCAAAACCGUAGGACUACAUUGUGAAUGCUACCAAACUAGAACAAGUAAACAUGGAUAAGUUUAGUUAGGGUCAAGAAUGACCAUAAAUCAAGUAAACAUGAUGCUUGUAAUGCAUCAGGUACUGAUCAUGAAGAAACAAUGAAUCACAUACCAACUUGACCACAUCAACUGAUAUAUGCCAAUAAUUUCUACUGCAAAAUUGUUGGCAACCUUUAGCAGAUUAUGUGGGGAACAAAGUGGGCAGAACCAAGGCCAACCCCAUAAAAGACAUGCUUACCUC
rnacentral:lncRNA from 1 species